rnacentral:rRNA from 1 species
AGAGUUUGAUCAUGGCUCAGGACGAACGCUGGCGGCGUGCCUAACACAUGUAAGUCGAGCGGGGUUAACCGCAAGGUUGACCUAGCGGCGGACGGGUGAGUAACGCGUGGAUAACCUGCCUCAAGGGUCGGGAUAACAGCUCGAAAGGGCUGCUAAUACCGGAUGUGAUGCACUUUUCGCAUGGAGGGUGCAUGAAAGGGGAAACCCGCCUUGAGAUGGAUCCGCGUCCCAUCAGCUAGUUGGUAGGGUAAAGGCCUACCAAGGCGACGACGGGUAGCCGGCCUGAGAGGGUGACCGGCCACACUGGGACUGAGAUACGGCCCAGACUCCUACGGGGGGCAGCAGUGGGGAAUAUUGCACAAUGGGCGAAAGCCUGAUGCAGCGACGCCGCGUGAGCGAAGAAGGCCUUCGGGUUGUAAAGCUCUGUCUGGAGGGACGAAAGAAAUGACGGUACCUCCGGAGGAAGCCACGGCUAACUACGUGCCAGCAGCCGCGGUAAUACGUAGGUGGCGAGCGUUGUCCGGAAUUACUGGGCGUAAAGGGCGUGCAGGCGGCCAAUUAAGUCGGGCGUGAAAACCAUCGGCUCAACCGGUGGGUGUCGAACGAAACUGAUUGGCUCGAGUGCGGGAGAGGAAAGCGGAAUUCCGGGUGUAGCGGUGAAAUGCGUAGAUAUCGGGAGGACACCAGUGGCGAAGGCGGCUUUCUGGACGUAACU